rnacentral:rRNA from 1 species
AUUGAACGCUGGCGGCAUGCCUUACACAUGCAAGUCGAACGGUAACGCGGGGCAACCUGGCGACGAGUGGCGAACGGGUGAGUGAUACAUCGGAACGUGCCCAGUAGUGGGGGAUAGCCCGGCGAAAGCCGGAUUAAUACCGCAUACGACCUACGGGUGAAAGCGGGGGAUCGCAAGACCUUGCGCUAUUGGAGCGGCCGAUGUCAGAUUAGGUUGUUGGUGGGGGUAAAAGCCUACCAAGCCGACGAUCUGUAGCUGGUCUGAGAGGACGACCAGCCACACUGGGACUGAGACACGGCCCAGACUCCUACGGGAGGCAGCAGUGGGGAAUUUUGGACAAUGGGCGAAAGCCUGAUCCAGCCAUGCCGCGUGCGGGAAGAAGGCCUUCGGGUUGUAAAGGCUCUGUCGGGAGGGACGGAAGGGGAAACCCGUAGACGGUACCUCGCAAGAAAGACACCGGCUAACUCUGU